rnacentral:lncRNA from 1 species
GUCCCCCAAGGGCAGUACUGACCCUGGAACCCCCAUGGUUCAAUGUGCUCCGAGGGGACAAUGUGACUUUGACUUUUGAAGGACAUGAUUCUAUGGAUCAGAUCUCCCCAUCCACAAGGAAUCCUAUGCCAUCCCACCUGUCAACAUAAAGGACAGUGGGGGAUGUCAGCGUGGGACAGAACACACUGUUCUCAGCAACUCUAUGAAACUACAGGUCUCUCAUGACCGGCUGCUACUACAAGCAGAGAGAUCAGAAUUCAUGGAAGGUGACACUAUGAUCCUGAGGUACCACAGCUGGAAGAGCAAACGACUGCACAAAGUCACAUACGACUAUAAUGACAAAGCCUUAAAGUUUGACAAUCAGACUUUCAACUGUACUGUCUUUCAAGUGAACCAUGCUCAUAAUGGAUCCUACCAUGAAAUAUUGCCAUCUAUCCGAAACUAUAGUAAUCAGUGUCAAAGGAGGGAAGCUGAGCACUGUGAACAUGGUUAUGAUAACAUUCGUCCUGGCGGUUGCGAUUGCUGUAACUGCUGCUGCCGCCACCCUGUGUUACUACAAGCAACACAAGGAGCCAGCCAACACCCCCGAUGAGAGAGAAGUACUAAGGUGGGGAUUUCGGCAUCUUAUUCAUCUGUGAAGUACGCAGGUGUCAAGAUAUGGAGGCACCCAGUUUUCCAGAGCUAAGAACUGGGAAGUAAGCGGAGCCCUGACCUGGAAAUAACAACAGUCUUUUGUGCUCACCCUCCAGAUGAUCUCACCCUCUGGCAAAAUCACAUAAUUAUUGUAUUGCUUGGACCAGCAUCAGAUGUUCCCUGAGCUCAGACAAGUUGUAAUCCUGAAGCCCUACUAUGAAGCAAACUUGUCACAUUGUUAUUGUUACCCCUCUUUGCCAGGGAUACAACUGCCUGCACAGCCACUGGUAUAAAGUGUUGAGAUUUGGCCACUAAAGCAGGUUCCCCCAGCCCUCCCCCCCACCCCCGUAGAGGUGGGGCCCCAGGCACUUGUGUGCUUGCUUGGAAGACAUUUCCCUCACUUUGAAAUUAAACUUCUAUUUGACUCCUGACUCUCCUGUCUCUAGCCUGCUCUGUUUGGCUCUGACAACUCAAGAGUUAGAGUCUAGUUCUGUCCCGUUAACACAGGUAAUCCUGCGGAAGAAGCAUCAGGACACUCAACUUAUCAGAAUCACUAAUAGUCAUGACCACCUCUAUCCCUCCAACAGUGGCCCUAACCUGCUUGUUCCCACAAGCACUGGGUGGAGGAACUUGGUGGAGCUAAGCCUGGACACCAGCUGCUUCCUGAGCCAACUUUGUCAUUCCAUGAAAAUGGAUUUGAACAUCUCUUUUGCAGUUGUCUGCAUGAAUCCUAAACUGCUUUUAAAAACUUGAAGGUAGUUGACUGCCUGUCUGUGCUGCCAACAUCUACCCAAUCCAAAUGACUUUCUACCUUGAAUCAUCACUCUUUCACGGUACUUUGGUUUUGUUAUUAUUAUUAUUAUAUUAUUGUCAUUAUUAAGGCAGUUGGG